rnacentral:rRNA from 1 species
AGGAGGGUGACAAUCCCGUUCUUGCCCCGGCCCCGCCGCGCGCACGGCCCGUUUUCUAAGAGUCGAGUUGCUUGGGAUUGCAGCUCAAAGCGGGUGGUAAAUUCCAUCUAAAGCUAAACACGGGGGGGAGACCGAUAGCGAACAAGUACCGUGAGGGAAAGAUGCAAAGAACUUUGAAAAGAGAGUUAAAGAGUGCCUGAAAUUGCUGAAAGGGAAGCGAAGGAAAGCAGUGUCUGGCGGAUCCGCCUCUCCGGGGUACCUUCGGGUCCCCGGCUUGCGCUUCCGCCGUGGCCAGCGCCGGGUCGGGUCGCGGGACGCUUCGUCUCGGGAGGUAGCGCCUCACCUCGGUGAGCGUGAAUACCG